rnacentral:misc_RNA from 1 species
GGGUUGGAAAAGGAACGAGCACUGGUAAACCCUAAACCUUACGCUCUACAUUGUGGAGAUAUAAUUGUCAGGUCUUUUCCCGGGGUUUCCCUGAAGUGGAAGCAAAAAGAAACCUCGAUGCAACAGCUCGUCCAAAAUCCUACGUGGCUCAACGCCCCUCGAGAGGUUUGAAGGUGGUGCCGUUGUGUCGGAAGGAUGUCUUGCGGUUACCGAUUGUCCUCACCUUUCGAACAUCCCCAUUUUUUAAAACUAUUUUCUUUGUCCAUUGUAUUGUUCCAAUAUAAUUAAUUAUUUUAAUUAACUCAAAUAUAAUUUUAAUUAAUGUAAUUUUC